rnacentral:rRNA from 1 species
UUUUUGCAUGUACCUUACCAAUAAGGAUCGGCUAACUCCAUGCCAUCCCCCGCGGUAAUACAGAGGAUCCGAUGGUUAUCCUGAUUUAUUGGGUUUAAAGGGUGCGCAGGCGGGAGAUUAAGUCGGCGGUGAAAUUUUGCAGCUCAACUGUAAAAGUGCCAUCGAUACUGGUUUUCUUGAGUGUAGAUGAAGUAAGGGGAAUUUGUGGUGUAGCGGUGAAAUGCAUAGAUUUCACAAGGAACUCCGAUUGCGCAGGCAGCUUACUAAACUAGAACUGACGCUCAGGCACGAAGGCGUGGGGAUCAGACAGGAUUAGAUACCCUGGUAGUCCACUCAGUAAACGAUGAUUACUGGCUGUUUGCGAUAUACCGUAAGCGGCUGAGCGAAAGCGUUAAGUAAUCCACCUGGGGAGUACGCAAGAAUGAAACUCAAAG